CAAGUAAUUAAGUGCAUGUGGUGGAUGCCUUGGCAGUCAGAGGCGAUGAAAGACGUGAUAGCCUGCGAAAAGCUCCGGGGAGGCGGCAAAUAUCCUUUGAUCCGGAGAUGUCUGAAUGGGGGAACCCACCUACUUUAAGGUAGGUAUUGCAACAUGAAUACAUAGUGUUGCAAGGCGAACGAGGGGAAGUGAAACAUCUCAGUACCCUUAGGAAAAGAAAUCAAUUGAGAUUCCCUCAGUAGCGGCGAGCGAACGGGGAUCAGCCCAUUAAGUUAUGUGUGUUUUAGUGGAACGCUCUGGGAAGUGCGAACGUAGAGGGUGAUAUUCCCGUACACGAAAGGGCACACAUAAUGAUGACGAGUAGGGCGAGGCACGUGAAACCUUGUCUGAAUAUGGGGGGACCAUCCUCCAAGGCUAAAUACUCCUGACUGACCGAUAGUGAACCAGUACCGUGAGGGAAAGGCGAAAAGAACCCCUGUGAGGGGAGUGAAAUAGAUCCUGAAACCGCAUGCAUACAAGCAGUGGGAGCACCUUCGUGGUGUGACUGCGUACCUUUUGUAUAAUGGGUCAGCGACUUAUAUUCAGUAGCGAGGUUAACCGUAUAGGGGAGCCGUAGAGAAAUCGAGUCUUAAUAGGGCGUUUAGUUGCUGGGUAUAGACCCGAAACCAGGCGAUCUAUCCAUGAGCAGGUUGAAGGUUGGGUAACACUAACUGGAGGACCGAACCCACUGUCGUUGAAAAGCCAGGGGAUGACUUGUGGAUAGGGGUGAAAGGCUAAUCAAGCCUGGUGAUAGCUGGUUCUCCCCGAAAGCUAUUUAGGUAGCGCCUCGGACGAAUACCAUAGGGGGUAGAGCACUGUUUCGGCUAGGGGGUCAUCCCGACUUACCAAACCGAUGCAAACUCCGAAUACCUAUGAGUACUAUCCGGGAGACAGACUGCGGGUGCUAACGUCCGUAGUCAAGAGGAAAACAAUCCAGACCGCCAGCUAAGGCCCCAAAAUCAUAGUUAAGUGGGAAACGAUGUGGGAAGGCAUAGACAGCUAGGAGGUUGGCUUAGAAGCAGCCACCCUUUAAAGAAAGCGUAAUAGCUCACUAGUCGAGUCGGCCUGCGCGGAAGAUGUAACGGGGCUAAAACUAUGUGCCGAAGCUGCGGAUGUAUACUUUGUAUACGUGGUAGGGGAGCGUUCUGUAAGCCGAUGAAGGUGUGUUGAGAAGCAUGCUGGAGGUAUCAGAAGUGCGAAUGCUGACGUGAGUAACGACAAAACGGGUGAAAAACCCGUUCGCCGAAAGACCAAGGGUUCCAGUCCAACGUUAAUCGGGGCUGGGUGAGUCGACCCCUAAGGCGAGGCCGAAAGGCGUAGUCGAUGGGAAAAUGGUUAAUAUUCCAUUACUUCUGUGUAAUGCGAUGAGAGGACGGAGAAGGCUAAAUCAGCCUGGCGUUGGUUGUCCAGGUGAAAGGAUGUAGGCAUGUAUCUUAGGCAAAUCCGGGGUACUCUAUGCUGAGAUCUGAUAGCAAGCUGUACUUGUACAGCGAAGUGGUUGAUGCCAUGCUUCCAGGAAAAGUCUCUAAGCUUCAGUUACACAGGAAUCGUACCCGAAACCGACACAGGUGGUCAGGUCGAGUAGACCAAGGCGCUUGAGAGAACUCUGCUGAAGGAACUAGGCAAAAUGGUACCGUAACUUCGGGAGAAGGUACGCUGUUGUUGGUGAUGGAACUCGCUUCCUGAGCUGACGACAGCCGCAGAAACCAGGCCGCUGCAACUGUUUAUUAAAAACAUAGCACUCUGCAAACACGAAAGUGGACGUAUAGGGUGUGAUGCCUGCCCGGUGCUGGAAGGUUAAUUGAUGGGGUUAGCGUAAGCGAAGCUCUUGAUCGAAGCCCCAGUAAACGGCGGCCGUAACUAUAACGGUCCUAAGGUAGCGAAAUUCCUUGUCGGGUAAGUUCCGACCUGCACGAAUGGCAUAAUGAUGGCGGCGCUGUCUCCAGCAGAGGCUCAGUGAAAUCGAAAUCGCUGUGAAGAUGCAGUGUACCCGCGGCUAGACGGAAAGACCCCGUGAACCUUUACUGCAGCUUGACACUGAACUUUGACCUUACUUGUGUAGGAUAGGUGGGAGGCUUUGAAGCUGGAACGCUAGUUCCAGUGGAGCCGUCCUUGAAAUACCACCCUGGUAAUGUUGAGGUUCUAACUCUGUCCCGUGAUCCGGGACGAGGACCGUGUCUGGUGGGUAGUUUGACUGGGGCGGUCUCCUCCUAAAGAGUAACGGAGGAGUACGAAGGUGCGCUCAGCGUGGUCGGAAAUCACGCGUAGAGUAUAAAGGCAAAAGCGCGCUUAACUGCGAGACCCACAAGUCGAGCAGGUACGAAAGUAGGUCUUAGUGAUCCGGUGGUUCUGUAUGGAAGGGCCAUCGCUCAACGGAUAAAAGGUACUCUGGGGAUAACAGGCUGAUACCGCCCAAGAGUUCAUAUCGACGGCGGUGUUUGGCACCUCGAUGUCGGCUCAUCUCAUCCUGGGGCUGAAGCAGGUCCCAAGGGUAUGGCUGUUCGCCAUUUAAAGAGGUACGCGAGCUGGGUUUAGAACGUCGUGAGACAGUUCGGUCCCUAUCUACCGUGGGCGCUGGAAAUUUGAGAGGAUCUGCUCCUAGUACGAGAGGACCAGAGUGGACGAACCUCUGGUGUACCGGUUGUGACGCCAGUCGCAUCGCCGGGUAGCUAUGUUCGGAAGGGAUAACCGCUGAAAGCAUCUAAGCGGGAAGCCUACCUCAAGAUAAGAUUUCCCUAGGACUUUAUGUCCUCUAAAGAGCCGUUCGAGACUAGGACGUUGAUAGGUUGGAUGUGGAAGCAUAGUGAUAUGUGAAG
rnacentral:rRNA from 1 species